UAGAAGCUGAACAAUGCUCUAAAGCCUCUUGUGGAGCCUCUGCAGAAUACAGUCUCAUUUCAGGUAGAAGAACAGAUGAUGAGGUGGGAGUGUGGUGGUGAGAAAGUGAAGAUUCCCUACUGCUUUCAUCACAUCUUUAUUCAUUCCUUCCCUGGGUGCUCUUGAUGGAACCUCACAGGAGUUUGGUUGAAUGCAGCAUAUUGUUACUACAACGUCUAUCAUGCAUCUGAUGCCAUGACAGUUCCGAAGAACCAAAUAAGGAAGAAAAAGCGGGAAAUGAAGGGUCCCAUGAACCAUGUUAAUGGAAUGUCACCAAUUUCCUCCCUGGGAAGGAUAAAACCCCCUGAUCAUCGUGACAUCCUCAGCGCAUAGUUCCCUGAA